UAUUUUAGUUGUCUUCUGAUUCACCAUCUAGUUAUAAUGUGUGUUAACUGAAGCUCUGAACAGCAGCAGAAGGACCUGCAGUAUCUCUGCUUCUUCCUUCAGUGAAGCAGUCUGUCACUGAGAGAGCUUUAUAAAACCUGACAAACAGACUUAGAAUAACUUUCUGCAUUUAUUAGAAUGUUUUUUAUUUUCAUGAUCUGUUAUUUCCCCCGUUAACUUUUAUAAAUGAUAUUGUUACUGAUUUAAAUGGGUCAUAUUUUGUUACACUUUGUUUAGCUCUUUUAUUACUGUGUUAGCUGAUGCUUCUUGUUUUUUGUACUAUCCCCUUUGCAGCUGUACACUGCAAAUGUCCCCACUGUAUGCAGUAUGUACUGUAUACUGCAUACUGCGUUCCUCAGCAGUAUGCAGUAUGUACUGUAUACUGCGUACUGCGUUCCUCAGCAGUAUGCAGUAUGCGGUUUUGAAUACAGCCUGUGUGUUGACCAUUAGCCUGUGUUCAGGUGUUAGUCCUCCUCAAGUACUUCAUUUUCAUAAACUAUGUAAGACUAAAUUAAUUUUUUGUGUAUUGCACUGUUAUUCUUCUGCAAGGUCAACCUCCACUUCAGAGAUGAGGACACUGAUUCAUACUCCUGGAUCAUGGUAGGACUAAACCUUCAGUAUUUUGCUGCAACAUGCAGUGGAGUUCAUUGGGACUUAUAAAGGACUUAACAAAAGGACUGAAUACACACCAAGUUGUGAAGAUUUGGUUUAUUGAUCAUACAAAUUGGUCAGUGGAAUAUUUUGGUUUCAUGUCUUGAUUCUGUGUUUAACUGUGUUUUAUUUUCAUUUAUUGUGUGCUGAAUUGGUGAUACAAAGAGGUUCUGUUACUGUAACUCAUUCACUUAAUGGUUAAGUGAACUAAAGAGAAAGAGAACUAAGCUCAUGAAAAGGGCUAACUGAGAUAAAAAUGAGAACUUAGUACUGAGUCAACUUAAAGAAAAACAAGAAACUAAAUUACAACUUAAAGGCGCCUAAAUUGAAAAAAUCUCCUGAACUUAAAUAGGUUUAAAUCAAACCAGAGUGAAACAGAAUAGGGAGAAAUACAUGUUUGAUGAGAAUUUGGGUUUUAUUUUCAAUGGUUUCCAGGGAUUUAAAUGCACAAUUCCUGUGUGGUGUGUGAAAUGUGUGAUUUUGGUACCAAUUAAUGUGCAUGUGUACUACUAACUUUACUAUAUAAAUAAGCCGGCAGUUCAAACGUA